rnacentral:rRNA from 1 species
GACGAACGCUGGCGGCGUGCUUAACACAUGCAAGUCGAACGGGAUGAUUUAAGAGCUUGCUCUUGGAGAAUCUAGUGGCAAACGGGUGAGUAACACGUAGACAACCUGCCGACAGGAUGGGGACAACAUUCCGAAAGGAAUGCUAAUACCGAAUGAAGCGGAGGAGAGGCAUCUCUCCUCCGUGAAAGAUGGCCUCUGAAUAUGCUAUCACCUGUCGAUGGGUCUGCGUCUGAUUAGCUGGUUGGUGAGGUAACGGCUCACCAAGGCGACGAUCAGUAGCCGGUCUGAGAGGAUGAACGGCCACAUUGGGACUGAGACACGGCCCAGACUCCUACGGGAGGCAGCAGUGGGGAAUCUUCCGCAAUGGGCGCAAGCCUGACGGAGCAACGCCGCGUGAGUGAAGAAGGUCUUCGGAUCGUAAAGCUCUGUUGACGGGGACGAACGUACGGAGUGCAAAUAUUGCUCUGUAAGGACG